rnacentral:rRNA from 1 species
AAACCAACAGGGAUUGCCUUAGUAACGGCGAGUGAAGCGGCAAGAGCUCAAAUUUGAAAGCCUCAUCUGAGGCAUUGUAAUUUGGAGGCCUGUAGUAACCUUCUGGACCUAAGUUCUUUGGAAAAAGACGCCACCGAGGGUGAUAGCCCCGCGGGUCCUUUGGUGAUUUCACUACAGCGCCAACGAGUCGAGUUGUUUGGGAAUGCAGCUCAAAGUGGGUGGUAAACUCCAUCUAAAGCUAAAUACCGGCGAGAGACCGAUAGCGAACAAGUACAGUAAUGGAAAGAUGAAAAGCACUUUGAAAAGAGAGUGAAACAGUACGUGAAAUUGUUGAAAGGGAAGGGCUUGCAAGCAGACACGCUUCUUGCGGGCCAGUGUGAGUUACGAAAGUUUGAAAAUGGGGCGGGAAUGUGGCAUGCCUCCUCGGGGGUGUGUGUUAUAUCCCGCUCUGAUAAAACUUUUGUGGCUGAGGACAGCAGUCUAAGGACACUGGCGUAAUGGUUGCAAGCCAC